rnacentral:rRNA from 1 species
GAUGAACGCUCGCUACAGGCUUAACACAUGCAAGUCGCGGGGCAGCAUGGGGGUUGCUUGCAAUCCCCGAUGGCGACCGGCGCACGGGUGAGUAACGCGUAUCCAACCUGCCCUUCACCACGGGAUAACCCGGCGAAAGUCGGACUAAUACCGUAUGUUGUCCAUUGACGGCAUCCGAUUUGGACGAAAGGUUUGGCGGUGAAGGAUGGGGAUGCGUCCGAUUAGCUGGACGGCGGGGUGACGGCCCACCGUGGCGACGAUCGGUAGGGGUUCUGAGAGGAAGGUCCCCCACACUGGAACUGAGACACGGUCCAGACUCCUACGGGAGGCAGCAGUGAGGAAUAUUGGUCAAUGGGCGUAAGCCUGAACCAGCCAAGUAGCGUGCAGGAUGACGGCCCUAUGGGUGGUAAACUGCUUUUAUGCGGGGAUAAAGUGGCCCACGUGUGGGUUUUUGCAGGUACCGCAUGAAUAAGGACCGGCUAAUUCCGUG